rnacentral:rRNA from 1 species
GACGAACGCUGGCGGCGUGCUUAACACAUGCAAGUCGAGCGAGCGGCGGACGGGUGAGUAAUGUAUGGGGACUGCCCGCUAGCGGGGGAUAACUACUGGAAACGGUGUCUAAUACCGCAUACUAUCGGAUAACCCAUAUGGGAUUCGCUAGUAGGUGGGGUAAAGGCUCACCUAGGCGACGAUCUCUAGCUGGUCUGAGAGGAUGAUCAGACACACGGGGACUGAGACACGGCCCAGACUCCUACGGAGGCAGCAGGGGGGAAGAUUGCACAAGGGGCGCAAGCCUGAUGCAGCCAGGCCGAGUGUAUGAAGAAGGCCUUAGGGUUGUAAAGUACUUUCAGCGGGGAGGCGUUACCCGCAGAAGAAGCACCGGCUAACUCCGGGCCAGCAGCCGCGGUAAUAC